UUUACUUUAAUUGCAGUGAUUAUGGGAUUAAUUGCAGUCACAGCUACGGCUGCUGUAGUAGGAGUUGCAUUGCACUCUUCUGUUCAGUCAGUAAACUUUGUUAAUGAUUGGCAAAAAAAUUCUACAAGACUGUGGAAUUCACAAUCUAGUAUUGAUGAAAAAUUGGCAAAUCAAAUUAAUGAUCUUAGACAAACUGUCAUUUGGAUGGGAGACAGACUCAGGAGCUUAGAACAUCGUUUCCAGUUACAGUGUGACUGGAAUACGUCAGACUUUUGUAUUACACCCCAAAUUUAUAAUGAGUCUGAGCAUCACUGGGACAUGGUUAGACGCCAUCUACAGGGAAGAGAAGAUAAUCUCACUUUAGACAUUUCCAAAUUAAAAGAACAAAUUUUUGAAGCGUCAAAAGCCCAUUUAAAUUUGGUGCCAGGAACUGAGGCAAUUGCAGGCGUUGCUGAUGGCCUCGCAAAUCUUAACCCUGUCACUUGGGUUAAGACCAUUGGAAGUACUACAAUUAUAAAUCUCAUAUUAAUCCUUGUGUGCCUGUUUUGUCUGUUGUUAGUCUGCAGGUGUACCCAACAGCUCGGAAGAGACAGCGACCAUCGAGAACGGGCCAUGAUGACGAUGGCGGUUUUGUCGAAAAGAAAAGGGGGAAAUGUGGGGAAAAGCAAGAGAGAUCAGAUUGUUACUGUGUCUGUGUAGAAAGAAGUAAACAUAGGAGACUCCAUUUUGUUCUGUACUAAGAAAAAUUCUUCUGCCUUGAGAUUCUGUUAAUCUGUGACCUUACCCCCAACCCCGUGCUCUCUGAAACAUGUGCUGUGUCAACUCAGAGUUAAAUGGAUUAAGGGCAGUGCAAGAUGUGCUUUGUUAAACAGAUGCUUGAAGGCAGCAUGCUCCUUAAGAGUCAUCACCACUCCCUAAUCUCAAGUACCCAGGGACACAAAAACUGCGGAAGGCCGCAGGGACCUCUGCCUAGGAAAGCCAGGUAUUGUCCAAGGUUUCUCCCCAUGUGAUAGUCUGAAAUAUGGCCUCGUGGGAAGGGAAAGACCUGACCAUCCCCCAGCCCGACACCCGUACAGGGUCUGUGCUGAGGAGGAUUAGUAAAAGAGGAAGGAAUGCCUCUUGCAGUUGAGACAAGAGGAAGGCAUCUGUCUCCUGCCUGUCCCUGGGCAAUGGAAUGUCUCGGUAUAAAACCCGAUUGUAUGCUCCAUCUACUGAGAUAGGGAAAAACCGCCUUAGGGCUGGAGGUGGGACCUGCGGGCAGCAAUACUGCUUUGUAAAGCAUUGAGAUGUUUAUGUGUAUGCAUAUCUAAAAGCACAGCACUUAAUCCUUUACAUUGUCUAUGAUGCAAAGACCUUUGUUCACGUGUUUGUCUGCUGACCCUCUCCCCACAAUUGUCUUGUGACCCUGACACAUCCCCCUCUUGGAGAAACACCCACGAAAGAUCAAUAAAUACUAAGGGAAUUCAGUGGCUGGCGGGAUCCUCCAUAUGCUGAAUGCUGGUUUUCUGGGUCCCCUUAUUUCUUUCUCUAUACUUUGUCUCUGUGUCUUUUUCUUUCCUAAGUCUCUCAUUCCACCUUACGAGAAACACCCACAGGUGUGGAGGGGCAACCCACCCCUACAGGGAUGAAGCUGCAGACCCCCGCAGUGAGUGUUACAGCUCAUAAAGGUAAUGUAGACCCAAAGAGUAAGCAGCAGCAAGAUUUAUUGUGAAGAGCAAAAGAACAAAGCUUCCACAGCAUGGAAGGGAACUCAAGCAGGUUGCCACUGCUGGUUUGGGUGGCCAGGUUUUAUUCCCUUAUUUGGCACCACCCACAUCCUGCUGAUUGGUCCAUUUUACUCAGUGCUGAUUGGUCCAUUUUACAGAGCACUGAUUUGUCCAUUUUAAAGAGUGCUGAUUAGUGCAUUUUUACAGAGUGCUGAUUGGUACAUUUACAAUCCUUUAGCUAGACACAGAGUGCUGAUUGGUGCAUUUACAAUCCUUUAGCUAGACACAAAAGUCCUUCAAGACCCCACCCAACCCAGAAGCCCAGCUGGCUUCACCUCUCAAUACUAUGGGUAUUCCAUAUAACUCACAAGCACAAGCAAUACUGGAAAGAGCUAAUCGUACUUUAACAACUCAAAUACAAAAGCAAAAGGGAGGGGACCAGGAAUAUAAGACACCACAUAUGCAAUUGCAUUUAGCUUUAUUAACAUUAAGUUUUUUUAAUUUACAAAAAGAUCAACCCAUGACUGCAGCUGAACAACACCUGAUGGGACAAAAGGAUAAGAAAAAGGCUGGACAAGAUAUAUGGUGGAGGGAUGAACAUACAAAGAGCUGGGGAAACGGAAAGAUAAUUUUAUGGGGAAGAGGAUUUGCUUUUGUCUCUCCAGGUGACAAUGAGGUACCUGUGUGGGUGCCCACCAAAAGUCUGAAGCUCUACCAUGAAUCACAGCAUCCAGUGGAUCCACCUGUACAGUGCAAAUUGAAGAGGUUUAAGGAUUGCUUUUAAGCCUCAAUUUGUGUUCUCUGUGCUUUUUGCCAGAAGGGGCCUGCUUCUCAUUAUCAAUGGAGACACAAACCAUGUAGGUGCCCUCAAGAUGUGUACAACCAUGGAACAGGAGACUGGAAGGACCCAUGGAUCCCAACCACGGACCAGACUGAAUCAACUAUGCACAUGUGUGACCCAGACGUUCAGUGCUGCCAAAACAGCCAGUGCGUGUCUGUUUUGGCAGGAAGAAGACGUUUCUUCUGAGGAGCAGCCUCCCUGCUAAAUCCAGCUGGCCUGACCCUGACAGAACUGCAUG